rnacentral:lncRNA from 1 species
ACGCUGCUAUGGAUGUUCUGCCUGAGACCAGAUUUGGUUAGGAGCACAGAGACAGGCUUCUCAACCCACCAAGGUUGGAUAAGUUUCAUAAACAGCAGUGAGGUAAGGAGAAUGAGUAUAAAGAUCAACGUUUGACAAGUCUUCCCUGCUGUUUACCAAAAAAAAAAACAAAAGCCUUUCACAUUUUGUCACAUGGCACUGCACCUCAAAGGCACCUUUAAGCAUAGGAUUUACUACCACACAUCGACAGGAAAGUGCUCUCCUGGACCUGGCAGUGAGAGCUGUUUAGGAGUCUCCAAGUGUUUCACGCCUUCUUCCUCCACCUUCUCCAUCUGAAUGGCCACAGCCAGCAGCUCCCUCUCCAGAAGGCACAGCCAACUCAACAGCAGGUUAACUCCUUGGGCGUUUAUCUGAAAGCACACAAUGCAUCUUUAUGGACAAUGACCAAAAAAACAUCACUGGGAUUCUGACAGCCUGGAGUCAAGCUUUUAAGUGAGAAUUUCUGCUUUAACACAGACUGCAAACUAAGGAUGGCAUCUCAUCUAACAGCCUCUGUCAGCACACAGUACAACUUUGGGGAUAGUUAUUGCAUGCGUGUAUAACAUCUGCUGAAAUGCAUUUCCCAUCACUUCUUGGAACUUUGAACGCUACUGAUCAGAGAUUUUAAAAGGGAGACCACUAACAAAGAUAAAUAACCAGGAAAUAAAGACCAAAAAUCCCCUGACUGGAUGCAUUUUUGUCAUGCUAUAGGAAACUGAUCAGAUAUUAACUCAAAGACCUUUUAGUCAAUGCAGUUUCACAUCACAAAGCCGCAACUGUGGGAAAUGCAGGGGCUUUGGAAAAACAAAGGGGCAGCUGAGGGGUGCAGAGGGAGAGAAUCAAACCAACCACAUUUGAACUGCAGAAACCCCUGCAGAAAACACAGACCACAACUCGUUCAGCUCUUUGGAGGAUUAAAAAAAAAUGCAAAAAAAAGGAAGACGUGCCCAGUUUGAUUUAUCACUCUUAUUAUAAAGAUGCUUAAAAUGAAAAUAGCUUUAAGGUUACAGUCAUUACUGUGUAUGUUUUUAUGUGUGUAUUUUAAACAGACAAGUGUGAAGCAUUAAGACUCCACGGGAAGCAUCACAUCAUUCCACGUUACCUGUGCGAUCAACCCAAAGCUCCCCAUGGACUUGCAGAUCUGCUUUGUGCUAUACAUUGCAACACAGCUAACAUGGGGAAACAGUACUUCCCCUGGAUGGCACUGCAACCUCCCCAGCUUGCUUUCCCCCUCAGAUACUUUGUCACUUGAGCACUUGGAGUAGAAGUGGUAGGUCUGGAUUCUUUUUGUAGUUGUAUGUGGUUACUUUUUGCCAGCCUCCCCAUCUCAAUGACCUUGUAAAGCAAGGUUUAUACAAUACCUUCCAUAAUAUAUUAAAGAUCAUACUUCUCUUCACUCAGAAGUCUUCCAGGUGUUUAGCCUUGUGUGUCAACAGAAACCUUGGACAAAUUACCAU